ACGAUGCAACGCGAAGAACCUUACCUGGUCUUGACAUCCCGGAGACCCUUAGGAACGUAAGGGGUGGCUUCCAUCUGGAAGAAUCUGGAGACAGGUGCUGCAUGGCUGUCGUCAGCUCGUGUCGUGAGAUGUUGGGUUAAGUCCCGCAACGAGCGCAACCCUUGCCUUUAGUUGCCAGCAGUUCGGCUGGGCACUCUAAAGGGACUGCCGGUGUUAAACCGGAGGAAGGUGGGGAUGACGUCAAGUCCUCAUGGCCUUUAUGACCAGGGCUACACACGUACUACAAUGGCCGAUACAAAGGGCAGCGACACUGCGAGGUGAAGCCAAUCCCGUAAAAUCGGUCUCAGUCCGGAUUGGAGUCUGCAACUCGACUCCAUGAAGUUGGAAUCGCUAGUAAUCGUGGAUCAGCAUGCCACGGUGAAUACGUUCCCGGGCCUU
rnacentral:rRNA from 1 species